CACUGCCUGCUGAUAAGGUGGCAGCCAGGCGGAGGCAACAGCACAGUUCACACCAACCUGUCACUGUCAACAGUAAGCUGUUGGCAGGAGGAGUGGGCACCAGCUGGUGUUGGUUGGUCGGCUGUGCAAGCAGAACUCAUUGAUGAGGUCUUCACAAUUGAGCUCUGAAGCAGGGAGCCAUGUGUCAUCCUUCUCGGAGUAGCCCACCCAGCGCACCCGGAACUUCACGGGGCACUUCCACCUGCGCCGGCACUCCAUGUCCACAAUCUGCUCAACCUGCACAACCAGUAUUCCCUUCUUAGUGUGUACUUACACUAUUAUAAUGUAUUUGAUUUAUUUGAUAAUCAAUAAAAUAAAUUAAUUAUUGAGCAAGACCAUAGAAUGUGAAA